UUGCACGCUGGCGGCAGGCCUCACACAUGCAAGUCGAGCGGAUGAAGGGAGCUUGCUCCUGGAUUCAGCGGCGGACGGGUGAGUAAUGCCUAGGAAUCUGCCUGGUAGUGGGGGAUAACGUCCGGAAACGGGCGCUAAUACCGCAUACGUCCUGAGGGAGAAAGUGGGGGAUCUUCGGACCUCACGCUAUCAGAUGAGCCUAGGUCGGAUUAGCUAGUUGGUGGGGUAAAGGCCUACCAAGGCGACUAUCCGUAACUGGUCUGAGAGGAUGAUCAGUCACACUGGAACUGAGACACGGUCCAGACUCCUACGGGAGGCAGCAGUGGGGAAUAUUGGACAAUGGGCGAAAGCCUGAUCCAGCCAUGCCGCGUGUGUGAAGAAGGUCUUCGGAUUGUAAAGCACUUUAAGUUGGGAGGAAGGGCAGUAAGUUAAUACCUUGCUGUUUUGACGUUACCAACAGAAUAAGCACCGGCUAACUUCGUG
rnacentral:rRNA from 1 species